rnacentral:rRNA from 1 species
CUUUACUGUAGCCUGGUAUUGGGUUCGGGCUUUGACUGCGCAGGAUAGGUGGGAGACUAUGAAGCUGCCCUUGUGGGGGCAGUGGAGUCAUCAGUGAGAUACCACUCUGUCAAGGCUAGAAUUCUAACCGUCUGCCGUUAUCCGGCGACGGAACAGUAUCAGGUGGGCAGUUUGACUGGGGCGGUCGCCUCCUAAAUGGUAACGGAGGCGCGCAAAGGUUCCCUCAGGCUGGGUGGAAAUCAGCCGAAGAGUGUAAAGGCAGAAGGGAGCUUGACUGCAAGAGCAACAACUCAAGCAGGGACGAAAGUCGGCCUUAGUGAUCCGACGGCGCUGAGUGGAAGGGCCGUCGCUCAACGGAUAAAAGUUA